GAGACACCACGCCCAGCAAGGAAUCAUUUCUAUAGUUCAUAACUAGAGAAGUUUCUCUGACUAUGUAGAGGGAGGAUGAGACGUAGCACUCCCUCCUGAGCAUGAAGUUGACUCUUGGUGCUGCUUUACUGCAUCUGCCUUUGCCAUUGAUGAUCUUCUCUUCCUUUGGGAGAAUUAUAGGGAGGGAGUAAAGUCUGA
rnacentral:snoRNA from 1 species